rnacentral:lncRNA from 1 species
GUCACUCUAGUCAGAACUGCUGUUUUACACCAGGUCCACAGGCUGAGCCAAUUCUUUGCUGGAACAGAGUCGCAGACCCCCUUGCAGACCUGCAUCUGAACAGAAAUCUGCAUUUCCUGGGUGAUCCAAGGGCUCAUACACCUGGCUGACUUUCACUUCUGCCUGAUGCCUGUGACCCUGGUGUGUGACUGUUUCUCCUUGCAGGAAGCCGAUGAAGCUUUGUUGCAUAACCUGCACCUUCAGCUUGAGGCCCAGUUUCUGCAGGAUGAUAUCAGUGUGGCCAAGGACAGGAACAAAAAGGUUAAAGGACAUGUGCUGGGGACCAUUGGCGGCAGCUCAUCCCCACCUUGGCUGGAGUCAAGAGAGUGUGGAAGAACCUUUCCUGGGCUCACGUGAUUGCCCUCCCUGCCCUACAGAAUCUUUUGGAAACCCAGACCUACAUCAGCAUCCUACAGCAGAUCAUCCGGACGGCACCUCAGGCUGUCACGUGUAG